rnacentral:rRNA from 1 species
CGAUGAUCCGGUGCUUGCACCGGGGAUUAGUGGCGAACGGGUGAGUAACACGUGAGUAACCUGCCCUUGACUCUGGGAUAAGCCUGGGAAACCGGGUCUAAUACCGGAUAUGACCUGUCACCGCAUGGUGGCGGGUGGAAAGAUUUAUUGGUUUUGGAUGGACUCGCGGCCUAUCAGCUUGUUGGUGGGGUAAUGGCCUACCAAGGCGACGACGGGUAGCCGGCCUGAGAGGGUGACCGGCCACACUGGGACUGAGACACGGCCCAGACUCCUACGGGAGGCAGCAGUGGGGAAUAUUGCACAAUGGGCGCAAGCCUGAUGCAGCGACGCCGCGUGAGGGAUGACGGCCUUCGGGUUGUAAACCUCUUUCAGCAGGGAAGAAGCGAAAGUGACGGUACCUGCAGAAGAAGCGCCGGCUAACUACGUGCCAGCAGCCGCGGUAAUACGUAGGGCGCAAGCGUUGUCCGGAAUUAUUGGGCGUAAAGAGCUCGUAGGCGGUUUGUCGCGUCUGCUGUGAAAGCCCGGGGCUCAACCCCGGGUCUGCAGUGGGUACGGGCAGACUUGAGUGCAGUAGGGGAGACUGGAAUUCCUGGUGUAGCGGUGAAAUGCGCAGAUAUCAGGAGGAACACCGAUGGCGAAGGCAGGUCUCUGGGCUGUAACUGACGCUGAGGAGCGAAAGCAUGGGGAGCGAACAGGAUUAGAUACCCUGGUAGUCCAUGCCGUAAACGUUGGGCACUAGGUGUGGGGGACAUUCCACGUUUUCCGCGCCGUAGCUAACGCAUUAAGUGCCCCGCCUGGGGAGUAC